CGAGUACGCGGAGGACAUUACCGAGUUUACAACUCCCAAACCCAAUGUGAACGUUACCAAACUGUUGCCUCGGCGGGGUCACGCCCCGGGUGCGUCGCAGCCCCGGAACCAGGCGCCCGCCGGAGGAACCAACCAAACUCUUUCUGUAGUCCCCUCGCGGACGUAUUUCUUACAGCUCUGAGCAAAAAUUCAAAAUGAAUCAAAACUUUCAACAACGGAUCUCUUGGUUCUGGCAUCGAUGAAGAACGCAGCGAAAUGCGAUAAGUAAUGUGAAUUGCAGAAUUCAGUGAAUCAUCGAAUCUUUGAACGCACAUUGCGCCCGCCAGUAUUCUGGCGGGCAUGCCUGUCCGAGCGUCAUUUCAACCCUCGAACCCCUCCGGGGGAUCGGCGUUGGGGAUCGGGACCCCUCACACGGGUGCCGGCCCCGAAAUACAGUGGCGGUCUCGCCGCAGCCUCUCCUGCGCAGUAGUUUGCACAACUCGCACCGGGAGCGCGGCGCGUCCACGUCCGUAAAACACCCAACUUUCUGAAAUGUUGACCUCGGAUCAGGUAGGAAUACCCGCUGAACUUAAGCAUAUCAAUAAGGCGGAGGAA
rnacentral:rRNA from 1 species